UACGUAGGUGGCGAGCGUUGUCCGGAUUUAUUGGGCGUAAAGCGCUCGCAGGCGGCUCGAUGCGUCGUGCGUGAAACACCCCGGCUCAACUGGGGAGGGUCGUGCGAUACGGUCGGGCUGGAGGCCAGUAGGGGGAUGCGGAAUUCCGGGUGUAGUGGUGGAAUGCGUAGAGAUCCGGAGGAACACCAGCGGCGAAGGCGGCAUCCUGGACUGGUCCUGACACUCAGGAGCGAAAGCGUGGGGAGCGAUCCGG
rnacentral:rRNA from 1 species